AUUGAACGCUGGCGGCAGGCUUAACACAUGCAAGUCGAGCGGGCGAGGUUGCUUCGGUAACUGAGCUAGCGGCGGACGGGUGAGUAAUGCUUAGGAAUCUGCCUAUUAGUGGGGGACAACAUUCCGAAAGGAAUGCUAAUACCGCAUACGCCCUACGGGGGAAAGCAGGGGAUCUUCGGACCUUGCGCUAAUAGAUGAGCCUAAGUCAGAUUAGCUAGUUGGUGGGGUAAAGGCCUACCAAGGCGACGAUCCGUAGCGGGUCUGAGAGGAUGAUCCGCCACACUGGGACUGAGACACGGCCCAGACUCCUACGGGAGGCAGCAGUGGGGAAUAUUGGAUAAUGGGCGCAAGCCUGAUCCAGCCAUGCCGCGUGUGUGAAGAAGGCCUUUUGGUUGUAAAGCACUUUAAGCGAGGAGGAGGCUACUUGGAUUAAUACUCUAGGAUAGUGGACGUUACUCGCAGAAUAAGCACCGGCUAACUCUGUGCCAGCCGCCGCCGUAACAC
rnacentral:rRNA from 1 species